AUUGAACGCUGGCGGCAGGCCUAACACAUGCAAGUCGAAUGGUAACAGGAAACAGCUUGCUGUUUCGCUGACGAGUGGCGGACGGGUGAGUAAUGUCUGGGAAACUGCCUGAUGGAGGGGGAUAACUACUGGAAACGGUAGCUAAUACCGCAUAACGUCGCAAGACCAAAGAGGGGGACCUUCGGGCCUCUUGCCAUCAGAUGUGCCCAGAUGGGAUUAGCUAGUAGGUGGGUAACGGCUCACCUAGGCGACGAUCCCUAGCUGGUCUGAGAGGAUGACCAGCCACACUGGAACUGAGACACGGUCCAGACUCCUACGGGAGGCAGCAGUGGGGAAUAUUGCACAAUGGGCGCAAAGCCUGAUGCAGCCAUGCCGCGUGUAUGAAGAAGGCC
rnacentral:rRNA from 1 species